GGCGAACGCUGGCGGCGUGCUUAACACAUGCAAGUCGAACGGAAAGGCCCUGCUUUUGUGGGGUGCUCGAGUGGCGAACGGGUGAGUAACACGUGAGUAACCUGCCCUUGACUUUGGGAUAACUUCAGGAAACUGGGGCUAAUACCGGAUAGGAGCUCCUGCUGCAUGGUGGGGGUUGGAAAGUUUCGGCGGUUGGGGAUGGACUCGCGGCUUAUCAGCUUGUUGGUGGGGUAGUGGCUUACCAAGGCUUUGACGGGUAGCCGGCCUGAGAGGGUGACCGGCCACAUUGGGACUGAGAUACGGCCCAGACUCCUACAGGAGGCAGCAGUGGGGAAUAUUGCACAAUGGGCGGAAGCCUGAUGCAGCAACGCCGCGUGCGGGAUGACGGCCUUCGGGUUGUAAACCGCUUUCGCCUGUGACGAAGCGUGAGUGACGGUAAUGGGUAAAGAAGCACCGGCUAACUACGUG
rnacentral:rRNA from 1 species